rnacentral:rRNA from 1 species
CAGCCGCCGCGGGAAUACCAGCACCUCGAGUGGUCAGGAGGUUUAUUGGGCCUAAAGCAUCCGUAGCCGGUUGCAUAAGUUUUCGGUUAAAUCUAUGCGCUUAACGUAUAGGCCGCCGAAAAUACUGUGCAGCUAGGGAGUGGGAGAGGUACACGGUACUCGAUAGGAAGGGGUAAAAUCCUUUGAUCUAUUGAUGACCACCUGUGGCGAAGGCGGUGUACCAGAACACGUUCGACGGUGAGGGAUGAAAGCUGGGGGAGCAAACCGGAUUAGAUACCCGAGUAGUCCCUGUCUCUUAUAC